AUGGUCGACGCCGUGCACGACGACGCCAAGCUGCAGCGCGCCCUGGUCGGCGGCGGCAUCGCCAAGUCCUCGGCCGCUCUGUACCUCGCCUUCUUCAGGGCCCCGGCCGGCGUCUUCCUCCUCGACGGGCACGGGCUGCUCGUCGCCGCCUACUACGUCAUCCUCGCCGCCGUCGUCGUCUUCGGCGCGGUGGAGGUGGCCACGGGCUUCUGGGUCGCCGGCGACCCGCACGGCCGGCGCGGCAAGGGGAAGGUGGUGCUCUGGGCCUCCGUCGUCCCGCUCGUGCUCGUCACCGCGCUCGGAGGCUUCGCCGUGCUGAGAUAG
rnacentral:rRNA from 1 species